CAGCAAUUCAGGAGAAACCUGAAGAACCAACAGUUGAAAAGAAACCUGAAGAACCAACAAUUGAUGAAGAACUUGAAGAACCAACAGUUGCGGAGAAACCCGAAGAACCAGCAGUUAAAGAAAAACAUGUAGAACCAGCAAUUGAAGAAAAACGUGAGGAACCACAAGUUGAAGAAAAACAUGAGGAACCAGCAGUUGAAGAAAAAACUGAAGAACCAGCAGUUGAAGAAAAACCUAAAGAACCAAAAGUUGAGGAGAAACCUAAAGAACCAGCGGCUGAGGAGAAACCCGAAGAACCAGCAGUGAAAGAAACACCUGAAGAACCAGCGGUUAAAGAGACACCUGAGGAACUAGCAGUUGAAGAGAAACCUGAAGAACCAGCAAUUG
rnacentral:lncRNA from 1 species